ensembl:lncRNA
CAAAGGAGGAAAAACAGGGAGACUAAGAAAAAGAAGUGAGUUUUAUGGAGCAAUUUGAAGGGGGAAAAAGGAGAGUGAAAAAUGUGAGCUAUUUCAAGAAGCAUACAAGAAAAGUUACCAAACCGAGAGGUCAAAACACAAACAAAAGGAGCAUUGAGGAGAGUCUCCCAGGAGAAGAAAGAACUCGAUGAGAUUCCCUGCUUGCAUCUUUUGGUUGGAAAGAUGAGAGGCAGGGAUGUCCAAGCAAAGAAAACCUUAAUGGUCAUGGAUGAAGGUGACACGGUCAUGGACUAGUGAUUAAUUUCUGGAGAAGAGAAAAAGACAGCAAUUGGAAGUGGGAGAAGACUUGGAUGAAUGAGAAGAAGACUUGAAUGAGAAGAGAAGGGAAAAGGAAUUGAGAGUUCAGAUGGUGACGUUUUAUCACGGGUCGAGGGAGCUGGCCGUUUCUGUCAGGUGCAGCUAUGUGGCUUGGAUGUGAAUAGAAGAGAAGAUGUGAAGAAGGUAGGAGAGAGGACGACUCCUGUUCUGCCACCCUGGCCACUUCUCAACGGCUCUGCUCCAACCAGCUCUUCUUCACCGUCUUUAAAGUCCUGUCUCUACUGCACAAUGUGGAUGUGCUCAGAGGAUGUGAGAUGCCUGUGUCCUCUCUCCAACUACACAAAAGCUCCCUGAGGGCAGGAACACUGCCUCAUGCCUCUGUGUAUCCCCAACAUGCCCAAGCCCAGUGCUGAGCACAUGGUGCUCAGUACGUUAUUGCCCUUUGCUUGAUCCCCAACAAGUGCCUUUUAAAUUGGGAUGCUCAGAGUUGAAAUAGUCUCUCAGUUGUUUUUGUUCGCCAUUCUUAAUCAUCUUCCUCUUGUUGAUAUGCUAUGGUGUCUGGAUCAUCCCACUUGAGUUGUAUUAACCCUAGGUGGACUUGAUGCCAGCCACCUGGGUGUUGCCCUCAGCACUUGCAUCCUGGCGCUCACCUCAUGUCCCUCAGUCUCUUGCGCUGGUUCCACAUCCCUGAGUCACGACCACUGUCCUUAGGUGUGUGUUUGUGCUUACUUGGUGUAUUCAUGCUCAUCUCAACUGUUGUUUAGCAAUGCUCUUUAUUCACCUUUUGCCAAUUUCCUGAUUCAAUGGCCUGUCCCAACAUUCUCCAUUCUUCCACUUCACCUCCAGGCCCAGAGCUUGAAAACUGUCUCACCUGCUUCUUUAUUGAGCUGGUGGGACCCCCAGGAGCCUGAGUACUGCAUCUCUGCAUCCCUCUUCUUCCAGAUAUGUGGAGGCAGUGGUGUUCUGGGUUGUUUUUGGUGUGGGGGGUUUUCCUUUCUCAUUUCCAAGGCUCACCCCUUUCCCAGAGGGCCUGACUCCUUCAGGAUUUUAACAACUCAAAUUCCCGUCCGUCUGCAGUUUUUAGAUACCAUCAAUUUUUCUCUCAUUUUUCCCCCUUAAUCAAAAAACAAAGAAAGCUGUGUCGCCACUAUAAUAAAUUGAAAAUCAACAAAAGCACUUGCUCUUCCUUUCUCCUUCAGUUUCCAUCCUAUUUUUUCUUUUGUCUAAGGAAAUGUCCACAAAUUCUACCUUUGUUGUGACUUGCUCACCCCUCAGUCUCGUCAGUCACCUGGUUUCCACCCCUCCCUCCAUGUUGUCCACGCUGGGAAAGGUGCCAGGAGCCUU